rnacentral:pre_miRNA from 1 species
GGGGAAUGAUGUCCGGUCCGAAGACGCUGUGCGGCGAAAGCGGCGGCGGCUUCGGACCAGGCUUCAUUCCCC